CCGGUUUCAAAAAAGAAUGUUUGUAAACAUCUAAACUAAGACACAGGGGACUCAAAUAUAAAGGGCUUCAAAUGCUCGCUAAAUGUUUUUCUUAUGAAUAGUACGAUAACCAUAACUUUAAAAUCUAUGCCACAGUGCAAGAAGACCAGCACAUAAAAAAAAAGUGAAGCAUGUCAGAUUUAACAAAGAAGUAUUUGUUUUUAACGAUGAAAGGCCUUUGUCCCGUCGAGUAAGAUCACCAAGACAGCUAAAAUCCAUUCUGAAAACAUCUAUCCAGCAUAAUUCAGGUAAGAUUAAGUGUAAGUCCUCUACUGAUUCUACCCUUACUAUAAAAAGAAUAAGGAAAUCAAAUACGAAUAUAUUUAUAUUCUUUGUUCACUUGCUGGCAACCAUUUUUAGACUAUAGAUUUAUUAAGGUAUUGUUUCUAAGAAAUGUCAAAUUCAAAUUAUACCGUCUGA
rnacentral:lncRNA from 1 species